rnacentral:rRNA from 1 species
UGUAAGCGUAUACCAAAGUUGUUGCAGUUAAAACGCUCGUAGUCGGAAUUUGGCAGUUCCGGAAGUGUGCACGUCGUGUGCGCACUUUGCGGGGACUGCUUUUGUGGUCUUGCGUAGGAUGAGACACUUUCAUUAGUGAACGUCCUCACGCAACCACUCUUUACUGUGAGAAAAUCAGAGUGCUCAAAGCAGGCAUUUGCCGUGAAUGUAUUAGCAUGGAAUAAUAGAAUAGGACUCGGUUCUAUUUUGUUGGUUUGUUGGGACUGAGUAAUGAUUAAGAGGGACAGUUGGGGGCAUUUGUAUUCCGGCGCUAGAGGUGAAAUUCUUAGAUUGCCGGAAGACAAACUGCUGCGAAAGCGUCUGCCAAGGAUGUUUUCAUUGA